CGGUCGCCCUCCUUUUCCUCUUCUAUCUCUCCAGAACCCUAAGUUCUCACCUCCCCAUCCUCCCAACCUCCACCUCUGCCUCUCCAAACCCCUCCAAUCCCAAUCCCACUCCCUCCUCUCUCACCAAAAUCUCAUCUAGUCCUUGAUUGCCCCGAUGAAGAAGGCCAUUAGGCAGGCGAUGUCGAGGGCUUGAGCGAGGCCGAUGAGGAUUCAGUGGGCGGCGGUACCCACGAGGGCAAGGGUGAUGCCCAACGGGCCAAGAAUCAAACUCGGGGCCCUGGAAAGUGCACAUGCAACACCAUCGGAGAGAGCCAGACAGUGGCGAGCGUGAUGACGACAACAGCGAUGAUCAGAGAGAGGAUGAUUUACAGGAUGAUCGGAGAGUCGAAUGAUCUACAACUUUGUAGCUGCCUGGGUACUACUCCCCUCCCUCGGCCAUGCCCUCAUGAGCCGCGGUAGAUGCUCUCCAAGACCGCUUGAACGAGCUCACGACCACGAUUGGGAUGGGAAUUUGGAGCUCUUCGCCUGAAUGAGCUCGCGAUAAAGAGGGGGGUCGGGCACAAGGGCGAGCGUGCCGCGAUGCCGGCGAAGGCAGAGGGGUGGGCCGCGUCGAGCCUAGAGCAUGGCGAGCCCUAGAGAUCGGAGAUAGAGGUGAGAAGCAGAUUUUUAUUUUUUUAUCAUGUUAAAUGGAUCACAAAUGAAUUUUUUUAAAACUGGGUUAUAAAUAUAAACAGGUUAAAUGAGUCGGAUCGGAUAA